UAUACGACCGUACCGCAAACCGACACUGGUGCGCGAGAUGAGUAUUCUAAGGCGCUUGAGAGAACUCAGGAGAAGGAACUCGGCAAAUUGACACCGUAACUUCGGAAGAAGGUGUGCCCUAUUAGUGUGUAGUGAACAACGAAGCAUGAAUGGGUUGCAAAAAAUCGGUGGCUGCGACUGUUUAUUAAAAACACAGCACUCUGCAAACACGAAAGUGGACGUAUAGGGUGUGACGCCUGCCCGGUGCUGGAAGAUUAAAUGAUGGGGUGCAAGCUCUUGAUUGAAGUCCCAGUAAACGGCGGCCGUAACAAUAACGGUCCUAAGGUAGCGAAAUUCCUUGUCGGGUAAGUUCCGACCUGCACGAAUGGCGUAACGAUGGCCACACUGUCUCCUCCUGAGACUCAGCGAAGUUGAAAUGUUUGUGAUGAUGCAAUCUCCCCGCGGAAAGACGGAAAGACCCCAUGAACCUUUACUGUAGCUUUGUAUUGGACUUUGAACAGAUCUGUGUAGGAUAGGUGGGAGGCUUUGAAGCAGGGUCGCUAGAUCUUGUGGAGCCAACGUUGAAAUACCACCCUGGUGUGUUUGAGGUUCUAACCUAGGUCCAUUAUCUGGAUCGGGGACAGUGCAUGGUAGGCAGUUUGACUGGGGCGGUCUCCUCCCAAAGCGUAACGGAGGAGUUCGAAGGUACGCUAGUUACGGUCGGACAUCGUGACGAUAGUGCAAUGGCAUAAGCGUGCUUAACUGCGAGACUGACAAGUCGAGCAGAUGCGAAAGCAGGACAUAGUGAUCCGGUGGUUCUGUAUGGAAGGGCCAUCGCUCAACGGAUAAAAGGUACUCUGGGGAUAACAGGCUGAUACCGCCCAAGAGUUCAUAUCGACGGCGGUGUUUGGCACCUCGAUGUCGGCUCAUCUCAUCCUGGGGCUGUAGCCGGUCCCAAGGGUAUGGCUUUCGCCAUUUAAAGAGGUACGUGAGCUGGGUUUAAAACGUCGUGAGACAGUUUGGUCCCUAUCUUCCGUGGGCGCUGCAGAUUUGAGGAAGCCUGCUCCUAGUACGAGAGGACCGGAGUGGACACACCUCUGGUGUAUCGGUUGUCACGCCAGUGGCAUUGCCGAGUAGCUAAGUGUGGAAGAGAUAACCGCUGAAAGCAUCUAAGCGGGAAACUCGUUUCAAGAUGAGAUCUGCCGGGGCCUUGAGCCCCCUAAAGAGUCGUUCAAGACCAGGACGUUGAUAGGUCAGGUGCGGAAGCGAAAAG
rnacentral:rRNA from 1 species